AUGGCGGAUGCACCUCUGUACAAGCAGCGCCGCAAGUACACCAGGGAGCUCCACGAUGUCCACCUCCACGGCAAUCACAAGCUCCACGUCCUUUGCACAAGCAAGGGCAAAGACGUGGACAAGAUGUUGUCCAUGUUUAGGAGGAAGCUCGGUGGAAUGCCCGUCAAACUAGUCGGCGUUGAUGUGCCAAUGGAACUAGACAAAUUCCUGAUGAAUGUUGAGUACACCUUCGUCGGAUUUGCUAUUGAAGGAGACAAAAGCAAGCUGAAGGUAUCUGGUUUGGAGAUCAACUCCAACAACUACAUUGAUAUUCAGAUGGAAUGGAGAGACCCAUACAAUAAAAAGAAGUUUGACUCUUUGGCUGAUGUUGCUGGCAGGAUGAUAGACAUUCACUACCAUGACAUGAAGAAAAAAAUUAACCGCAAGGAGGACCAUACUCUGUGGGGAUUUUGA
rnacentral:rRNA from 1 species